GGGGCUGUAGCUCAGAUGGGAGAGCGCUGCAAUCGCACUGCAGAGGCCAGCGGUUCGAUCCCGCUCAGCUCCACCA
rnacentral:tRNA from 1 species